UAUUAAAGAGGAGAGUGAAGAAACAUUCAGAGUCAAACAUGAAGAGACUGAGACACAAACAGGCAUAUUCACUAUUCACCUUAUUUUUCAUGGCAACAAAAGAUGCUGCCAUUGCAUUUGUUUUGUCAUCUUACUUCCGGCUGAGAGGGAACAACCUAAGCUAGAGAACAGAACCUAAAUAUGUCAAGUAUUAUAUGCUCAGUCAGGGGCUGCCAUAACAAUUGGAUUAAGAGAACAACUGCACCAACAAUGUUUCAAACAACAAAACAUUCGGAGUGUUGUGGGGCACUUUACAAUUGACAUCCACCACUAAAGAAGAGGAGCACCUGAGGCGAUGGAUGAAGGCGCUAAAUUUGAAGCGCCCACCAAACCACCCUUAUGUGUGUUCGUACCAUUUCAUGGACGGGAGGCCGACUGACGAACACCCUGAGAAAUGGCUCGGCUACGAUGUCCCGGUAAAGUCACGCGGGGGAUGAAAAGGUUGUCAGAAUCAGAUGUACGCAUGGCCCUGAACUGUGAUGCAGAAACACAAUGGGAGGAUCCAUCCGAUCACAACUACAGUUCAAAAACACAACUCAACCUGAAGCCACCUACAUCUGAUAUGGGAACACAGUGCCAUUGUACUGAACUCUGCUGAGAAAAAACAACCUUUGUCAGCUCUUCACAGGGUUGACAUUGGAUGCAUUUCAAUCAGUUGCUGUGUACCUUACCAGGUCCAGUUCAUACACCAACAGCUUCCAGCUACACACUAGCGAUCGGAUCCUGAUGAAGCUACGUCUUAAUUUAUUGCAGGGUGAUCUUGCUGAAAGGUUUGGUGUUUCUCAGUCCAUUGUAAGCAAGGUGGUUUCAUGUUGGAUUGACAUCACGAAGGAGAACAUGAGGGAUUACAUACCAUGGCUUCCCAGGGAGACAAUCUAGACAACAAUGCCUCUGUUUCAGAGAACAAUUCCCAAAUACAACAUGUGUGAUCGACUGUUCAGAGACACCCCUUCAAAAGCCACGCAACCUUGAGUCCUACGGCCAGAACACCAUCAAACACCUGGUCUACAUUGCACCUUGACUCCAUGUUGAAUGGGUCAUAUGCCGACUGAAACACUUCACAAUCCUUUCUCAAACAGUUCCAAUUAAUUUCUGAUGUAGCAGAUGAAUAAGUGUUGAUUUGUAGGUGUGUUCCACAACUGUCGAUACGUUUUGCUGUGUUUUGUUUUGUUUUUAUUAAUUAAUCAGUGUAAAUAGUGCAAGUAGUUAUUUUUAUAAACCUUUAGAAUGUCACCAGAAUGGAUGUGGAAAUUAAUAUGGAAAUUAAAUGGUGAAAUUUUACCUCUAAAUGAAAGGGGUCUCUUGCUUCCUGAAAACAACAAACACUGAUCAACAAAUCACAACUGAUUUUAUACAACAAAAAUCACAGUCUGUCUCUUGUUUAGCACAUAUCCUAUCCUUAAGCCUAAUUAUUAAGCAACAGGCGGCCUGCCUGAAACUCAUCUGACACAUGAGGAAAAACAUAAACUGCAUCCACUGUUCGAGUAACACUGGGUUCUUGGGGAAGCUGAACACGACAAACUUUCCCUCACGUCCAAAAUAACUUUGGCCAUGUUUAGCAUGAGAAUCCAUCUCUUUAACAUUGUGAACAACUCUGAAUACACGAAACACCAUUGUACCCCCCCUUUAAAAUAAAAUGUUUGUAGUCUAGCUACAGUCUUGGCACAGAAUUGCUCAUUGUUUGGCACGUGUAGCAGAACUUGCUGUGAAAAGGUGAUGUCCAUUAGCCACUUUGGACAGAGGUUCCUCUGGGGCCCCACAUUCACAAACAUACAUUAUUAAAUUUGGAAAAUAUGUCAA